rnacentral:rRNA from 1 species
GGGGAAUUUUGGACAAUGGGCGCAAGCCUGAUCCAGCAAUGCCGCGUGCAGGAUGAAGGCCUUCGGGUUGUAAACUGCUUUUGUACGGAACGAAAAAGCUCUCUCUAAUACAGGGGGUGAAUGACGGUACCGUAAGAAUAAGCACCGGCUAACUACGUGCCAGCAGCCGCGGUAAUACGUAGGGUGCAAGCGUUAAUCGGAAUUACUGGGCGUAAAGCGUGCGCAGGCGGUUUUGUAAGACAGAUGUGAAAUCCCCGGGCUUAACCUGGGAACUGCGUUUGUGACUGCAAGGCUGGAGUACGGCAGAGGGGGGUGGAAUUCCACGUGUAGCAGUGAAAUGCGUAGAGAUGUGGAGGAACACCGAUGGCGAAGGCAGCCCCCUGGGCCUGUACUGACGCUCAUGCACGAAAGCGUGGGGAGCAAACA